AACGCACCUUGCGCUCCUUGGUAUUCCGAGGAGCAUGCCUGUUUGAGUGUCAUUAAAUCAUCAAUUCUCAACUUCUGUAAUGGUUGUUGUUGAAUUGGACUUGGGGACUUGCUGGUUCUAGUGCUGAACCGGCUUCCCUCAAAUGCAUUAGCUGAAGUCUUACAAGCAGCGUAUAUGCGGUGUGAUAAUAUCUUCACUGUAUUGCUCUUGUUGAAUUUGGCUUCUAACGGUCCUUCAAUUGGACAACACUUUGACAAUUUGACCUCAAAUCAGGUAGGACUACCCGCUGAACUUAA
rnacentral:misc_RNA from 1 species